rnacentral:tRNA from 1 species
GAGAACCUAGUAAACACAUUACAUGGCCUUGUCGCGGCUAAGUCACAACCUUUGUGGUCCUCA